CGGAGAUCACAAAACCUUCGUGCCAAUAUAACCAGAGCCUGGCCGUCCACGCCACGUGGUGCCGACGUGGAGAGGAGAGGAGAGGCAGGCUCUGGGACCUGGGAACCUUUCCCGGGCAUCCCAGAGGGCGCAGUGACCGCUCCAGGGCUGCGGCAGGGCGGGCGCACAGGGCCCAGCCCGCCAGGGCCCUCUGCGGUCUGGUCCCGCCUUAAUCUCCAGAUGGCGGUCCAGUCCCGCCUUAAUCGCCAGAUGGGGCAGCUGCUCUCCAGAUGCUGGGAGCUUUGUGCUCGGAGCCGGUUUAUUCUCAUCUUUGUGAAUAAAGGAGCUCGAGUGUUUAGAAGGAAAGGGGGUUGCCCUCCUGGAAAGAGAGCAGCAGUUCGAACAAAGUGACACAGGGAGGGAACAGACACACGAAGGCAUUCCCUUGGUCCCAGACGACUUCAGAGCUCCCUGCAGACUCACCUGGAAGCAUGGAUACGACACCACAGGUGGGGCUCGGCGAGCCAAACGGCACAACCGUGGGCUUUGAACAUCGAGCUGGUCCCAGGGGAGCAGUUACCCCCAAAAGUGUCAACACCCACGGUAGAAGUCGAGAUCUUACAACCAAAACCACAAUCUUGCAGCCAACCAGGAAGCUGAAAGGUAUUUCUAAGCAGAAUGCAGUGUAUAAUGGACACACAGAUCUCUUCCCCAUUUUUUUCUUUUAAAGAACAUUUUUGCCCUUUGUCACUCUGUACAUUCAAUUUCUAUUAUGAAAAAAUUAAAUAUGAAAACACGUGGA